rnacentral:lncRNA from 1 species
UGAGUCAAAAAAUUUUUAAGUUACAUGCUUCAAUUUUAUGGACCAUAAAUAAUUUUUCUGCAUAUGAAAACUUAUCUGGGUAGAGCACCAAAGGAUAUCUGGCAUAUCCAAUAUGCAACAAGGAUGCAUCCUCCUUACAUUUAAAGUAUGGAUGAAAAAUAUGUUUCAUGGAUCAUCGACGGUUUCUACAUGAUAAUCACUCUUGGAGGAUCCGUUACAAUCAAUACUUUGAUAGUAAGUCC